rnacentral:misc_RNA from 1 species
CUCUCUCUCUCUGAGAAUACAGAACAAUGGCUACCCACAGAAAAAUGGACAGUGAAGACCAAGAAACUCUGUUUCACUCCUACCCAUGUGCCUACUACGUGCAGAGCCCAUCUACUAUUUCUCAUGCAAACAGUGCAGAGCUCAAAACCCAAAGUCUUGAAUCCACAUUUCACUCACCUUCAAGAUCCGAUACUAAUAUUCUCCUCAAUAAGAACCCUGAGGUCUCAAGAUUCACUCUCUCUCGUUACUCCUCUUCUCGUGGCUCUAACAACUCUUUCUUGAAUGAGAAG